AUGCCGCGUGUGUGAAGAAGGCCUUAGGGUUGUAAAGCACUUUCAGUGGGGAGGAGGGUUCAUAGGUUAAGAGCUGGAUAAUUGGACGUUACCCACAGAAGAAGCACCGGCUAACUCCGUGCCAGCAGCCGCGGUAAUACGGAGGGUGCGAGCGUUAAUUGGAAUUACUGGGCGUAAAGGGUGCGUAGGUGGUUUGUUAAGUUAUCUGUGAAAUCCCUGGGCUUAACCUGGGCAGGUCAGAUAAGACUGGUUAACUUGAGUAUUGGAGAGGGUAGUGGAAUUUCCGGUGUAGCGGUGAAAUGCGUAGAGAUUGGAAGGAACACCAGUGGCGAAGGCGGCUACCUGGCCUAAUACUGACACUGAGGCACGAAAAGCGUGGGGAGCAAAACAGGAUUAGAUAACCCUGGUAGUCCACCGCUGUAAANCGAUGUCAANUAGCUGUUGG
rnacentral:rRNA from 1 species